GUGGGGAAUAUUGGACAAUGGGCGAAAGCCUGAUCCAGCCAUGCCGCGUGUGUGAAGAAGGUCUUCGGAUUGUAAAGCACUUUAAGUUGGGAGGAAGGGCAGUAAGUUAAUACCUUGCUGUUUUGACGUUACCGACAGAAUAAGCACCGGCUAACUUCGUGCCAGCAGCCGCGGUAAUACGAAGGGUGCAAGCGUUAAUCGGAAUUACUGGGCGUAAAGCGCGCGUAGGUGGUUUUGUAAGUUGGAGGUGAAAUCCCCGGGCUCAACCUGGGAACUGCCUCCAAAACUACUGAGCUAGAGUACGGUAGAGGGUAGUGGAAUUUCCUGUGUAGCGGUGAAAUGCGUAGAUAUAGGAAGGAACACCAGUGGCGAAGGCGACUGCCUGGACUGAUACUGACACUGAGGUGCGAAAGCGUGGGUAGCGAACAGGAUUAGAUACCCCUGUAGUCC
rnacentral:rRNA from 1 species